rnacentral:rRNA from 1 species
UACAGAGGGUGCAAGCGUUAAUCGGAAUUACUGGGCGUAAAGCGCACGCAGGCGGUUGGUUAAGUCAGAUGUGAAAGCCCCGGGCUCAACCUGGGAAUUGCAUUUGAAACUGGCCAACUAGAGUAUGUGAGAGGGGGGUAGAAUUCCAAGUGUAGCGGCGAAAUGCGUAGAGAUUUGGAGGAAUACCAGUGGCGAAGGCGGCCCCCUGGCACAAUACUGACGCUCAGGUGCGAAAGCGUGGGGAGCAAACAGG